AGUUUUCCGAUGGAAUUGCUGAGUGGCGGACGGGUGAGUAACGCGUGGGUACCUGCCUCGCACUGGGGGACAACAGUUAGAAAUGACUGCUAAUACCGCAUAAGACCGCAUGGUAAGAACUCCGGUGGUGUGAGAUGGACCCGCGUUUGAUUAGCUAGUUGGUGGGGUAACGGCCUACCAAGGCGACGAUCAAUAGCCGACCUGAGAGGGUGACCGGCCACAUUGGGACUGAGACACGGCCCAAACUCCUACGGGAGGCAGCAGUGGGGAAUAUUGCACAAUGGGGGAAACCCUGAUGCAGCGACGCCGCGUGAGUGAAGAAGUAUUUCGGUAUGUAAAGCUCUAUCAGCAGGGAAGAAAAUGACGGUACCUGACUAAGAAGCCCCGGCUAACUACGUGCCAGCAGCCGCGGUAAUACGUAGGGGGCAAGCGUUAUCCGGAUUUACUGGGUGUAAAGGGAGCG
rnacentral:rRNA from 1 species